GGGAGGCAGCAGUGGGGAAUNUUAGACAAUGGGCGCAAGCCUGAUCUAGCCAUGCCGCGUGAGNGAUGAAGGCCUUAGGGUNGUAAAGCUCUUUCAGUGGGGAAGAUAAUGACNNNCCCC
rnacentral:rRNA from 1 species